GGCCGGUGAUGUGAUAAAAUAUUUGCUACUCUUGAUGGGGUUCACGUUUAAACCACCAUCUGAUGAUUCUUGUCCACCAAGAUCUCUGAGGCC
rnacentral:snoRNA from 2 species